rnacentral:rRNA from 1 species
AUGAAAAACGUUCUUAUUUGCAGACAAUCAUCAACCAUCAAAGGAGAAGACGCAAACAAAGGUUCCUUCAGCUUAUGUGUUCACGAAUCUGCAGGUCUUCCUGACCUCGCCACCUGCAGGGUUGGUGAUAUUGCCCAUCUUAACCAUGGAGUCCGAGAACUGCUUGAAGAACAGCUCCGGGUCAGCCCAGUACUUGUUGACCGUGUCGGCCGUCGAGUACCCGGCGAUGCUGGACCACAUCUCCUGGUCGGAGUUGAGGAGGCCCUCACCCUUGAUGAGCGUCUCGAAAUAGGCGUUGUCGAAGGUCGCGGAAGUGUGGCUGUCCAUGGCGCUGAUGUUGUCGUCGCCACCAUCCAAGGGGCAGAUCUCCUUAAGCUUGCUGAGGUAGGUCGCAGACGCAGGGUUGUACUUGGAUGUCAUCUCGAAGUCGCCGUAUAUCCUGUCCCGGAAGUUCGCGCACCGCGCGAUCCAUCUCGGCCCGGACCACAUGCUCCGCAUUCGGGCAUGUCUUGGAGUAGUGCUCCAGGCUCAGGUUCGAAGGGUCCUGUGCCAUCAGCAAUGGCAAGGCCAGGAGAAAACAGGCCACGGAGAGAGCAGACGCCCUGA